rnacentral:rRNA from 1 species
CAGUAGCCGCGGUAAUACGUAGGGUGCAAGCGUUAAUCGGAAUUACUGGGCGUAAAGCGUGCGCAGGCGGUUAUAUAAGACAGAUGUGAAAUCCCCGGGCUCAACCUGGGAACUGCAUUUGUGACUGUAUAGCUAGAGUGCGGCAGAGGGGGAUGGAAUUCCGCGUGUAGCAGUGAAAUGCGUAGAUAUGCGGAGGAACACCGAUGGCGAAGGCAAUCCCCUGGGCCUGUACUGACGCUCAUGCACGAAAGCGUGGGGAGCAAACAGGAUUAGAUACCCCCGUAGUCCCUGUCUCUUAUAC